UAGCAUAUCAAUAAGCGGAGGAAAAGAAACCAACAGGGAUUGCCCUAGUAACGGCGAGUGAAGCGGCAACAGCUCAAAUUUGAAAUCUGGCUCUUUCAGAGUCCGAGUUGUAAUUUGCAGAGGGCGCUUUGGCUUUGGCAGCGGUCCAAGUUCCUUGGAACAGGACGUCACAGAGGGUGAGAAUCCCGUACGUGGUCGCUAGCUAUUGCCGUGUAAAGCCCCUUCGACGAGUCGAGUUGUUUGGGAAUGCAGCUCUAAAUGGGAGGUAAAUUUCUUCUAAAGCUAAAUAUUGGCCAGAGACCGAUAGCGCACAAGUAGAGUGAUCGAAAGAUGAAAAGCACUUUGGAAAGAGAGUCAAACAGCACGUGAAAUUGUUGAAAGGGAAGCGCUUGCAGCCAGACUUGCUUGCAGUUGCUCAUCCGGGCUUUUGCCCGGUGCACUCUUCUGUAGGCAGGCCAGCAUCAGUUUGGGCGGUGGGAUAAAGGUCUCUGUCACGUACCUCUCUUCGGGGAGGCCUUAUAGGGGAGACGACAUACCACCAGCCUAGACUGAGGUCCGCGCAUCUGCUAGGAUGCUGGCGUAAUGGCUGUAAGCGGCCCGUCUUGAAACACGGACCAAGGAGUCUAACAUCUAUGCGAGUGUUUGGGUGUCAAGCCCGAGCGCGUAAUGAAAGUGAACGGAGGUGGGAACCCGCAAGGGUGCACCAUCGACCGAUCCUGAAGUUUACGGAAGGAUUUGAGUAAGAGCAUGGCUGUUGGGACCCGAAAGAUGGUGAACUAUGCUUGAAUAGGGUGAAGCCAGAGGAAACUCUGGUGGAGGCUCGCAGCGGUUCUGACGUGCAAAUCGAUCGUCAAAUUUGGGCAUAGGGGCGAAAGACUAAUCGAACUAUCUAGUAGCUGGUUCCUGCCGAAGUU
rnacentral:rRNA from 1 species